ensembl:lncRNA
CGCCUGGAGGUGCCCUUGGGCUUCGGUUUGGCUUUUAGUGCACUAAAGGUAGGAGGGAGUGGUCCUCCCCACCCAUUCCUAGGAUGUUUCUCUAGAAUUCUCAACCUUAGUUUUUGGGUCUCAGAGAAAGGGCUUCAGAGGUGAAGAGGUGUAGGAAGGAGCCCGGCAGGAAAGGAAGUACCCUUUCACCACCGCUGCUCCAGGAUCACAAAGCCAGGAAAGAGGCAAGGAGUCCAAAUCAAACCAGCCCUCACCUGGGCCAUCCGUGCCUCAGGUGUGUGUAUGAUUGGGAUGGGGGGCCUUGUGGAUUGAAGGGUGAAUCUGAGAGUCUUGAGCCUGCUGGAGGGGCCUGGGAGAGGCUUCCUCACCACCAGCCCCUUCCAGGCUUGGGCCUCAGUCAUUUAAUUCUGCUCCUCAGGAGUACUUUGUUGUUCCUCAAAUUAGGGUUCCCUCUCCUGUAGGUACUGUCUACUUCAAAGUCCUGCCUUGGUUUGGGGGGAGGUUGAUUUUAAUAAGCAGGAACAUGGAUCUAAGCCCCUAGACCUCUCUUCUACGAAAAUCGACAGCUCUGUCACUCCCUGUCCAGGCACCACUGGACCACAACUCCACAAUUCUUUCCCUGCCACCAACCAUCCCAGAGAAAAAAGACACACAUACCCCAGUUUGAUUAUUUUUGGUUGGUUAGUUGGUUUCUUUUUUAACCAGGGAGUCACAAGUAUCUAUGCCGAAUGGUGUGAAGGACUGAACUCAGUCUGGGUAGCCAGUCUGCUUCUGAGAUCCAAGAACCCAGAUCCCUAGGAUGAGGUGAACAGAAUGCAGUCAAUGCAAAAGCUCAUUGUGGCUCUGAGCACCGCUGUGGCCACUGCUGGCCAGCAGGCACCAGGGUGGGGGAUAAUGCGGUGGGCUGUGGGGGCUCUGGUUAUGGUGGGAGAGUGACCAAGCCCAGGAUUGGGGCAGGGAGUGAGGCACUCAGCCUGGAAAUAGAGGGAGCCCAUGCACGCCAUUCACCCAAAGUGUUCCUCUGCCCCUAGACCCCCAGACUUAGGAAAACUAAACCUGAGUGUGUCCUGGGCUGGGAAGGAACUGUCUGUCUGCCUGAGGGGCCUAAAGAGGAACUACCACUCGAUUCAUUAAGAAAUACACAAUUAAAACAAAAAUAAAUCAGCAGGAAACAGACAGUGUGGCCAAGGAAAGGCUUUUUUCUAUGCCUCAGCCCUGAUCUGGGGACAUCAAACAGAUCAGGCUUCAUAUCUAAAAAUGUUAAUUUAUAAUUUAAAAGUUCACAGAUUUUCUGAUACAGAAAUUUCUCCAAUCAGAUUGUUUCACAUAUUUAUUUUUUAUUGUUUCCACUUUCCCUUGUUUGGUUCCUCCCAGGAGUUUGGGGCCAAGUCCAUCACUGUUAGUAAAUAGGACGAAAUGGGCAGCUCUGCGAGUCUCCAUCUAGCGAGGAUCCCUACCUGCAGGGACAGAUCAGCCUUGCCCUCUCCUAUUAAGGGAUUAUAAGGAGUCCUAGAAGCCCGAGUUCUGUAGGGUGAGCACGUUCCUAAUUUGUAGUUUUCCUUUCUUUCCGAGACCGUCUCCUCUCCUUGUCUUCCUUUCCUUUUCCUCUCUGGGUCCCCUUGUGUGGGGGGGUGGUCAGGAAGUUCUUCUGUAAGUUUAACCCCUGCCAUUCUUGGCAAAGCUCCCCCCCCCUUUUUUUUCACAAGAGCAGGCACCUGGCAGAGGCCUAGUGUGUGUCUGUGGAGCUUCUGAUCAGCUCUCCUCCCACAGAAAACAGCAAAGUAGGACUGUUAGCUGAAGACUGAUCUCUAUUGCCCAAUUACUCAACUAAUUCCUGAGGGGGGGCGUAUAUUGGCAGCAGUGGAGGC